UACGUAGGGGGCUAGCGUUGUCCGGAAUCAUUGGGCGUAAAGAGCGUGUAGGCGGCUCGGUAAGUCCGCUGUAAAAGUCAAAGGCUCAACCUUUGAAUGUCAGUGGAUACUGCCGGGCUAGAGUCCGGAAGAGGCGAGUGGAACUCCUGGUGUAGCGGUGGAAUGCGCAGAUAUCAGGAAGAACACCGACGGCGAAGGCAGCUCGCUGGGACGGUACUGACGCUGAGACGCGAAAGCGUGGGGGAGCGAACAGG
rnacentral:rRNA from 1 species